ensembl:lncRNA
GAACAAGUCCAGGCAAGUCCUGGGCAAAGGCAGAGAAAUCUUUUGUCUUGAGGACACUGAUGGACAGGUCCUGGCUAAGGAUUGUGAAAUCCUCUAAGGAGCACAGAUGGACAAGGCCAGGGGCAACGAGAGAGAGAUAAGCUGCUGCUAAUGGCCGGGAAACGGUCUUUUUGUGUGGACUUAUCUCGAGGAAGAUAGCCAUCUCAGGAGGUAUGCACAUGACUCUUGCUCAAGCACCUAGGGAUGUCACGUAGGCAGGAGAAAAUGGAGGAUAAAAGAGGGUCCAACAACCACGGCGAUGUGGAGGCUGAUCUCUCACCACGACACACUCGAGGGGUUCUCUGCCAUCUGAUCCUUCACCACAACAGAGAGGCUGAUCUCUCACCACGACUCGAGCUUUCUGCCUUCAGAUCCUUCUCUAAGGACCGUUUGCUGACGGACUUCCCUGGGCCUGCUACCUGAGACCUGCUGCUUCCUCCCAGACUUACUCUGCGGCUUCUUCCUGGACCCACGCGGUACCUGCACCCUCUCGUUGCCCAAGACCGGCCUCGCUGCUCCUGCCCUUCGGCCUCGGACCGUCGGAACGUCGUGCAACGGGACUGCUGCUGGAUCCUGGUGAGGGCUGGAGCACCUCUCCUAAGAUGAAAGGUUGAAUGAGUUUUGCAUGGGGAAGACAAAGCUCCAGGGAGACCUGCUUGCCAUCUUCCAAUACUUGAAAGGUGCUUACAGUCGUGGGGGUGGGGGGGCAACUUUUUACACAGGUAGAUAGCAAUAGGACAAGGGGGAAUAGACUGAAAUAGACUGAAAGAGGGGAGUUUUAGAUUAGAUGUUAGAAAGCAAUUGACUCAGAAGGUGAUGAAGCACUGGAACAGGCUGACCAGAGAAGUUGUGAAUGCCCCAGCCAUGGAGGCAUUCUAGGCCAGGCUCGAAGUGUUCCUGAGCAGACUGAUCUAGGAGCUGGCAACCCUGCCGGCAGCGGGGAGACUGAAACUAGAUGAUCUUUGAGGUCCCUGCAAACCCAAAGCCAUUCUGUGAUUCUCUGAUUAACCUAUGCUGGAUUUUUCAUGUAUGCAUGUCUCGUGAAAUGUGUGGUUUAACUGCGGAGAGCAAAGAUCUAC